AGAGCGAACGCUGGCGGCAUGCUUAACACAUGCAAGUCGCACGAGGGGCAACCCUAGUGGCGGACGGGUGAGUAACGCGUAGGUAUCUAUCCAUGGGUGGGGGAUAACAGCGGGAAACUGCUGCUAAUACCGCAUGACACCUGAGGGUCAAAGGCGCAAGUCGCCUGUGGAGGAGCCUGCGUCCGAUUAGCUAGUUGGUGGGGUAAAGGCCUACCAAGGCGACGAUCGGUAGCUGGUCUGAGAGGAUGAUCAGCCACAUUGGGACUGAGACACGGCCCAAACUCCUACGGGAGGCAGCAGUGGGGAAUAUUGGACAAUGGGCGCAAGCCUGAUCCAGCAAUGCCGCGUGGAUGAAGAAGGUCUUCGGAUUGUAAAGUCCUUUCGGCGGGACGAUGAUGACGGUACCCGCAGAAGAGCCCCGGCUAACUUCGUGCCAGCAGCCGC
rnacentral:rRNA from 1 species